rnacentral:rRNA from 1 species
CGUGUAGGCGGUCCGCAAAGUCAGAUGUGAAAGCCCUUGGCUUAACCAAGGAACUGCAUUUGAUACUGGCGGGCUAGAGUACGGGAGAGGGAGGUGGAAUUCCUGGUGUAGCGGUGAAAUGCGUAGAUAUCAGGAGGAACACCGGUGGCGAAGGCGGCCUCCUGGACCGAUACUGACGCUGAGACGCGAAAGCGUGGGUAGCAAACAGGAUUAGAUACCCUGGUAGUCCACGCUGUAAACGAUGGGCACUAGGUGUUCGGGGUAUCCACUCCUCGAGUGCCGCAGCUAACGCAUUAAGUGCCCCGCCUGGGGACUACGGCCGCAAGGUUAAA